AGUGAACGCUGGCGGUAGGCCUAACACAUGCAAGUCGAACGGCAGCACAGUAUGAGCUUGCUCUUACGGGUGGCGAGUGGCGGACGGUUGAGGUAUACAUCGGAAUCUACUUUUUCGUGGGGGCUAACGUAGGGAAACUUACGCUAAUACCGCAUACGACCUACGGGUGAAAGCAGGGGAUCUUCUGACCUUGCGCGAUUGAAUGAGCCGAUGUCGGAUUAGCUAGUUGGCUGGGUAAAGGCCCACCAAGGCGACGCUCCGUAGCUGGUCUGAGAGGAUGAUCAGACACACUGGAACUGAGAAACGGUCCAGACUCCUACGGGAGGCAGCAGUGGGGAAUAUUGGGCAAUGGGCGAAAGCCUGAUAGAGCAAUACCGCGUGAGUGAAGAAGGCCUUCGGGUUGUAAAGCCAUGUUGUUGGGAAAGAAAAAAAGCAGGUUAAUACCCGGCUGUACUGACGGUACCCAAAGAAUAAGCACCGGCUAACUUCGUG
rnacentral:rRNA from 1 species